GUGCUUUUGUUUUUUUUAUUUUAAAUAGAGUUAAUGCAAUAUUAAUUGGCUGUAGAUGUUAUAAGAAUGCACAGCCCCAUUUUCAGGAACAAAUCGAUGAGAUAAGGAUGUGAGAGAGGGAAGGCGAAGGCUUUUUCCAGUCCAGGUCACUUCUUUGCGGGGAGGCUUUCUCAGAGCUUUGGGAAAGGAUGCUAUCUCUGAAUCUGCAGCCAGAUGCAGCUCCAAGCAAUCCCAGUGUUUCACAUAUUUCACCCAGCUGACGGCAAGUAGAUGUGAUAAAGCAGAAACUGGACACAGGUAAGACCAUGUUAGAGUAACUCUUCUCCCCAGCUUCCCAUUAAGCACAAGGAUAGGAAUAGUUUGGAAGGAAAUAAAUUUUAGGAAUCAGUUCCCA
rnacentral:lncRNA from 13 species